CCUACGGGAGGCAGCAGUGAGGAAUAUUGGUCAAUGGACGAGAGUCUGAACCAGCCAAGUAGCGUGAAGGAUGACUGCCCUAUGGGUUGUAAACUUCUUUUAUAUGGGAAUAAACUGUUCCACGUGUGGGAUUUUGUAUGUACCAUAUGAAUAAGGAUCGGCUAACUCCGUGCCAGCAGCCGCGGUAAUACGGAGGAUCCGAGCGUUAUCCGGAUUUAUUGGGUUUAAAGGGAGCGUAGGUGGAUUGAUAAGUUAGUUGUGAAAGUUUGCGGCUCAACCGUAAAAUUGCAGUUGAGACUGGCAGUCUUGAGUACAGUAGAGGUGGGCGGAAUGCGUGGUGUAGCGGUGAAAUGCUUAGAGAUCACGAAGAACUCCGAUUGCGAAGGCAACUCACUGAACUGCAACUGACACUGAGGCACGAAAGUGUGGGUAGCAAACAGGAUUAGAUACCCGAGUAGUC
rnacentral:rRNA from 1 species